UACGAGGGGGGCGAGCGUUGUUCGGAAUUAUUGGGCGUAAAGGGUGCGUAGGCGGUUCCGCAAGUCCUGUGUGAAAUCUUCGGGCUCAACUCGGAGUCUGCACGGGAAACUGCGGGGCUUGAGUGUGGGAGAGGUGAGUGGAAUUCCCGGUGUAGCGGUGAAAUGCGUAGAUAUCGGGAAGAACACCCGUGGCGAAGGCGGCACUCUGGGACGGUACUGACGCUGAGACGCGAAAGCGUGGGGAGCGAACAGG
rnacentral:rRNA from 1 species